GGGGAUGUAGCUCAGUUGGCUAGAGCGCUUGGCUGGCAGCCAAGAGGUCGUGGGUUCGAAUCCCAUCUUCUCCACAA
rnacentral:tRNA from 6 species